CGGGUGAGUAAUGGAUAAGUAACCUGCCCUUAAGUGGGGGAUAACACUUCGAAAGAAGUGCUAAUACCGCAUGUGGUGCUCUUUCACAAGAAGGAUCACUAAAACCGCAAGGUGCUUGAGGAGGGGCUUGUCUCCGAUUAGCUAGUUGGUGGGGUAACGGCCUACCAAGGCGAUGAUCGGUAGCUGGUCUGAGAGGAUGGUCAGCCACACUGGGACUGAGACACGGCCCAGACUCCUACGGGAGGCAGCAGCAAGGAAUCUUGGGCAGUGGGCGAAAGCCUGACCCAGCGACGCCGCGUGAGGGAUGACGGCCUUCGGGUUGUAAACCUCUUUUCUCAGGGAAGAAUAAUGACGGUACCUGAGGAAUAAGUCUCGGCUAACUACGUGCCAGCAGCCGCGGUAAUACGUAGGAGGCGAGCGUUAUCCGGAUUUAUUGGGCGUAAAGUGGGCGUAGGUGGUCUUUCAAGUCGGAUGUGAAAUCUCCCGGCUCAACUGGGAGGGGUCAUCCGAUACUGUUGGACUUGAGUACAGCAGGGGAAAAUGGAAUUCCCGGUGUAGUGGUGAAAUGCGUAGAUAUCGGGAGGAACACCAGAGGCGAAGGCGAUUUUCCAGGCUGAAACUGACACUGAGGCCCGAAAGCGUGGGGAGCGAACAGGAUUAGAUACCCUGGUAGUCCACGCCCUAAACGAUGUCAACUAGUUGUUGGG
rnacentral:rRNA from 1 species